rnacentral:pre_miRNA from 1 species
AUGGAUCUGAUCCAAAAUCCAUUGAAGUCAAUGGGAGUCUUUCCACUGACUUCAAUGUGCUUUGGAUCAGGUCCCAUGUAU